UCAUGAAUUUUUUGGGGUCUCAGUAGCUGGGUAGUGGGUGCCUGGGUGGGGAGAUGUGCAGGAUGAGGCCCCUCUUCCAUGUGUGGUCGGUGGGGUGUUAGGAACUCUGCAGCCACUGAGAUGCCUCCAGCCACAGCGGGGAAGAGGGGAUGAGGGGUGUCGCCAGCUGGUCGAGGAGCCCCCAGCUUUCUCCCCGGUCAUGGCUGGGACCAGAAUGGCUGGGAAUACGGCCCUUACCCCUCCUCCCUCCAGCUUUCCUCCUGGGUCCCUGGGCUGGUCCUUCUCACGGCCCUGUGAAGUGCUUCUCCCUGCCCUGGGCCAGGCCACUUAGACUGUGGGUGUGUGUCCCCCAAGUGCAGGGGACCCGCUGCUCUCUGGGGCUGAGGGCGGGAUCAGAGACCUCAGGAGGGGCUGCUGGGGCACAGCCUGGUGAGCCCGAAGACCCACCCCCUCCUCAUCCUGGCGGCUGGAGCUCCCGGCCCCUCCUGACUUGACCACUUCAGGCUGUGUCCUCAUUUGUUUGUGCUCACCUGCCAUCUGUCCCUCAGAGGUGAGGACACUUCCCUUGUGAGGAGUCAGCCCUGGUAUCUUGAAGUGGGUGCUGGCCUGGCUUAAACAAGACGGGCCUGGGUGCCUUUCCUCUCUCUGGGUUUGGUGGCCGGGCACUGACUGUGCCCCAUGACUCAUGCUGUGGGUCAAGGCCUUGUCUUGGGGGGCUGUUGGAGGGUGGCAGGACUCCCUGUACCCACUGGGAGAGGCUGACGCCAGGGCGUUCUGUCCUCUCACUGGGCCAUGACAGAGGCCUUGGUGGAGGGCUGGGAAGAGGCACUUGGCCACGGGACACUCCCACUGAGCCCCUGUGGGACCUGGUGCCAGAGGCACGGUGCCACCAACUCAGUGAACCUCUCAGCCUUUCUAGGGAGGAGCCUUGGGCGGCUUUCCUUCCACAUCGGGGGCUCAGCGAGGCUGAACCUAUGGAUGUUUGCAGGAGAAGGAGGCUCUGGAGCUGGCCACGGGGCCACUCCUUCGUCUUUCCUGCCACCUGCCCCCACCUCACUGCCCUGCCCUGAGAUGUCCCCUCUGAGGCACUUCAGCUCCACUCACAUGCGGACUUGGGCUGAGGACGUGGUGAGAGCCAGUUAGGCUCCCGAGACUGUUGGCUCUGUGGCCGCCUCUGCUCCCUGGGCCUCUGUGUGUCUCGUCCUCUGCCAAGUUAUCAAAGGCUCCCCUUUGUUUAUCACAGAGUGAGCAUGCCUGGUAAGUGUGUGAUGAGUGUGAGUGGAGCUGACUGUCUCAGGCGUCCUCCCCGCGAUAACCCUGGACAGAGUGCAAAUCCUGGUCUAUGCCACAAGGCCCUCCUCCUCACCCAACUCCUGCUCAUCCAUAAAAACCCAGCACAAUUGUCCUGCCAGGCUUUCCUGAGUCGUUGCUGGGCCAUCCCCUCCUGGACACCUGGAGUCCCCUGUGUCCCUCCGUGUUCUGCCUGUGAGCUUGGCAUAGGGGAGGUCCCACUAACCAAGUGUAAAACAGAUGUAGUAGAAGACCUGUGUCCCAAGGCUCACGGCCUUGUCCCAGCUCCUGUUCUGGGGCAGGGGGUGCCCAGCUUGUUUUUCCCUGUGGUAGCCACACCAGGAGCUCCUUGAGGAUGGGGACCCACAGGCCAUGCAUCUGUGUUCCCUCAUCGAUGAAAUGAGGGUAGGUGCAGUGAGGAUGGUGUGUGGCCAAGGCCGGCCUCACCUAUCAGUCUAACCUGGAUCUCCGUCAUGCUGUGGUCUUGUCGUUCGUCCCAUAUCCAGGGUGGGGGUACUGGAGAGCUGAGAGCUUCAGCAUUCUGAGGUCCAGCAGAGUGAGGUGGCUGGCUCAGCCUCACGCUUCCAUGCUGCCAUGCCCUCCACCCCUCAGGGCUGAGGGCUUUGUGUACAUUACCCUUCCAUUUUGCCUAGGAGAAGCCUGAGACUGAGAGGCAGGUGUUUAGUUUAAGGUCACGUCUCUGCCCCCAAAGCCCACAGUUCAGAUGAGCAGCAGCCAGCAAGAAUAUCUUGCAUGUCUGUCCUGUGUUUAGCCCUGUGUGGGUGUUGGGGACACAGAUGACUGGGACACUGUCCCCGACCUCAAGCUUUCAUUCAAGGUGAGGGUACCAGGCAUGCAGGCAUGUCACACAGCAGUGAGGAAAGGUCUCAGGCUGUAAGUGGUGCAGAGUGUUUGUGGGAAGGAGAGAUCAGGGACAGUUCACAGUGAUGUCAACCUGAGCGAGGUUUUGAAGGAUGCAUAGGACUUUGCCAAGUGCACAUAAUGUGUGUGCAUCUGUGACUUCCAUCAAGCAUCUUGGGAUGCCAUCAACCUGGACCUGGUGUGAGGGCUGGUGGUGUCAGUCAGGCCCAUCUGCCAACUGUGUGAAGGCUGCUCUGUACAUUACCCUCUAUACAUUACCCUCUGCACAUUACCCUCUGUACAUUACCCUCUAUACAUUACCCUCUGCACAUUACCCUCUGUACAUUACCCUCUAUACAUUACCCUCUGCACAUUACCCUCUGUACAUUACCCUCUAUACAUUACCCUCUGCACAUUACCCUCUGUACAUUACCCUCUAUACAUUACCCUCUGCACAUUACCGUCUGUACAUUACCCUCUAUACAUCACCCUCUGCACAUUACACUCUGUACAUCACCCUCUAUACAUUACCCUGUGCACAUUACCCUCUGUACAUCACCCUCUGUACAUCACCCUCUGCACAUUGCCCUCUGGACAUCGCCAUCUGCACAUCGCCCUCUGCACAUCACCCUCUGUACAUCACCCUCUGCACAUCACCCUCUGCACAUCACCCUCUACACAUCACCCUCUGUACAUCACCCUCUGUACAUUACACUCUGCACAUCAUCCUCUGCACAUCACCCUCUGUACAUCGCCCUCUGCACAUCACCCUCUGCACAUCACCCUCUGCACAUUACACUCUGCACAUCACCCUCUGUACAUCACACUCUGCACAUCACCCUCUGUAUAUUACCCUCUGUACAUCACCCUCUCCACAUCACCCUCUGCACAUCAUCCUCUGUACAUUAUUCUCUGCACAUCACCCUCUGCAUAUCACCCUCUACACAUCACCCUCUGUACAUUAUUUUCUGCACAUCACCCUCUCCACAUCACCCUCUACCCAUCACCCUCUGUACAUUAUUCUCUGCACAUCACCCUCUGCAUAUCACCCUCUACACAUCACCCUCUGUACAUUAUUUUCUGCACAUCACCCUCUCCACAUCACCCUCUACCCAUCACCCUCUGUACAUUAUUCUCUGCACAUCACCCUCUGCACAUCAUCCUCUGUAUCUCACCCUCUGCACAUCACUCUCUGCACAUCACCCUCUGUACAUCGUCCUCUGUACAUCACCCUCCGCACAUCACCCUCUGUACAUCACCCUCUGCACAUCACCCUCUGUACAUCAUUCUCUGUACAUCACCCUCUGCACAUCAUUCUCUGUGCAUCACACUGCACAUCACCCUCUGUGCAUCACACUGCACAUCACCCUCUGUGCAUCACACUGCACAUCACCCUCUGUGCAUCACACUGCACAUCACCCUCUGUGCAUCACACUGCACAUCACCCUCUGUGCAUCACACUGCACAUCACCCUCUGUACAUCAUCCUCUGCACAUCAUCCUCUGUACAUUAUUCUAUGCACAUCACACUCUGCAUAUCAUCCUCUGUAUAUUAUCCUCUGUACAUCGCACUCUGCACAUCGCCCUCUGUACAUCACCUUCUGCACAUCACCCUCUGCACAUCACCCUCUGCACAUCACCCUCUGUACAUCAUCCUCUGUACAUCACCCUCUACACAUCACCCUCUGUAUAUCACCCUCUGUACAUUAUUCUCUGCACAUCACCCUCUGUACAUUAUCCUCUGUACAGCACCCUCUGCACAUCACCCUCUGCACAUCACCCUCUGUACAUCAUCCUCUGUACAUCACCCUCUACACAUCACCCUCUGUAUAUCACCCUCUGUACAUUAUUCUCUGCACAUCACCCUCUGUACAUUAUCCUCUGUACAGCACCCUCUGUACCUCACCCUCUACACAUCACCGUCUGCACAUCAGCCUCAGUCUGCACAUUAUCCUCUGAAGGCCUUUAGGGAUUGGCCAUUUCUUGAAUACCGUGGACCAUGUUCUGCUAUGCAUUUUAUAGACAUGAUCUUUGUAAUCCUUGGGGAGGGUGCUGAUGCUCACUUCAUUUUGUAGAUUGAGGCUCACAGUGUAGGCGUCCCUUUUCCCAAGGGUCUUCUCACUGCUGGAUGGAGUCUCACCUGGGCUGGCCUCUCAUUCUCAAGGCUGGACGAUCUCCCUGUGGGCUCCAGCUGUCUGUGCAGAGCAAGCAGCAGUGUUUGUGAACUGGGUCGAGUGUGUGUCUGUCUCUGCAUACCUCGAGAGCCCUGAUGGCCAGUGUGGGUGGGAUAGACUGGGGACCUUUUGCUGGCUGACUGUGUCUGUCUUCUCAGGGAGAAGGAGAGCAGGGCAUGGAAGUGGCCUCCUCCCUGGUGCUCCUGCCUUGGGGGUUGACCAGUCCCUGACCUGUUUCUGAGAGCUUCUGGGUCUCUCUGGAGACCCUGGUGUACUUCCUGGAGUUCUUUUCCAUCUGGUGGUCUGUUCCUCUCUUUGGAGGUGGUGGCGCUAUGGGUGGGCACCACACCAGAGGGGCUGAGUUGCCUACCCAAGCUCCAUGCUGAGCUGGGCAAGGUAUCUCCCCAACUCAACUCACUUUCUGGGGGUCCUUUCAGCCACCUGGAUGUGGCUGCCAGGGCAGCAGUGGGGAGCCUGUGAGUUGUGCAGUUUCCACUUUCUUGUUCAUGUGGGUUUUGUUUUGUUUUUUUCUCAUCCCAGCAUAAGCCCUUGGCAUCCAGCUGCCCCUGCCUGAUGGGCUGUGCCCUGACCAUUGUAGCGCAGCAUUCAGUGCUGCCUCCCAGUGCCCACCUGUCCCCUGCCUGCCACUCACCUUCCCGCACAAUCCUCUGUGACCUCCAGUCACUUUGAGCAAUUCAAAACUCCCCAGUCAAAUGCUCCCUCUUUCUGGUCUCCUUACCUUUGUUGUAGCCCCCUUUUUGUCUGAGCUGUCACCCGCUCCAGGAAGUCUUCCCUGACUGCCCAGGUUAGAUGGGAUCUCCACCCCAGGGUCCCACAGCCCUAAGUGUUUCCCCAUGUCAGGAUAGAGACCCACAUGUGAUUCCUCUCUGCUGCACCAGCCAAGGUGCUCACGGCCGGGCAUAGAGCAGGUGCUUGGUGGGAGAUGGCCAAGAGCAGCUGGCCUUGCCAAGGCUCCUGGGCCAGGCGGGGGAAGUGCAGGCAGGGCCGCACAGGCCAUACAAGGUGGGAAGGGGCCCGGCUCUGUCCUGGAACCAGGCAUCCCUCAGUCCAGGACCCUGGCCUGGGCCCUGGGCAGGCAAAGCUGACGUUCUUGGCAGCGCGGCCUGGCUCCAGGUCUUGGAAGGGAGGGUGUGUCUGUGGGCCUGCUGGACUCCCCCUUGCUCAUGGGGCUCCCCACUGCUCCUGGGCCCACCUUUUCUCCCUUCACUUUCCACUCCCACCCCCUAUUUUGUUUCCUUUUCAUUCUUGUGGGGUCUUGGUCAGUGCCUGGAAGAGGCCUCUGCUGAGCCCUCAGUGUUGGCCCUUUUUCAGCCCUGAUGGAGGUGCCUCCCGGGCUGUGGGUGUGUCACUGCUCUUCCCCUCCGCUCUCCAGCAACCCCUGCCCUCUCUCCGCACUCCUCAUCCCUUUUCAGUGCCCUGGCUCUUUGUCUUUUUGUUCUCCUGCUCUUUCCUACUCUGCCCCCCCACCCCCCCUUGCCUCUGUAUUUUGCCUCCCUGCCUCCAUCUCUCUAUCCCUCAUGGGGAGCUCUGGGGUUGGGGGAGCAGGCCCAAUGAGGGAAGUCUGGGAGGGUGUGGUGGUCAGCAUAUGCUCUCAGGGUCCUGAGCUGGCGCCUUCCUUCCCUAGUGCUUUCUCCAUCCUGGUGUGGCUCCCCUUCUUAGCCCUUGCCCACCCAUCCCCGCUCCCCCUCCCACUCCCCACACAGCUGAAGGAGGAGGACAGCUGCCACUCACCAGGGGUCUGCCUCUGAGACUCUUGGUUGCCAGCAGACUGGCUGUGAGCCCAUGCGUGUGCCUUUGUGUGCCUUGUGUGUAUGUGCAUGUGUGUGUGCAGGAAGGAGCAGAGUGCCUGGAGCAGGUCACAUCUAAAAACCCCGGCAGGUUCUCCAGAAGCUGGGGAAGGCAGAUGAGACCAAGGAUGAGCAGUUUGAGCAGUGCGUCCAGAACUUCAACAAGCAGCUGACUGAAGGCACCCGGCUGCAAAAGGAUCUCCGGACCUACCUGGCCUCUGUCAAAG